rnacentral:rRNA from 1 species
UUAAGCGACUAAGCGUACACGGUGGAUGCCCUGGCAGUCAGAGGCGAUGAAGGACGUGCUAAUCUGCGAUAAGCGUCGGUAAGGUGAUAUGAACCGUUAUAACCGGCGAUUUCCGAAUGGGGAAACCCAGUGUGAUUCGUCACACUAUCAUUAACUGAAUCCAUAGGUUAAUGAGGCGAACCGGGGGAACUGAAACAUCUAAGUACCCCGAGGAAAAGAAAUCAACCGAGAUUCCCCCAGUAGCGGCGAGCGAACGGGGAGCAGCCCAGAGCCUGAAUCAGUGUGUGUGUUAGUGGAAGCGUCUGGAAAGGCGCGCGAUACAGGGUGACAGCCCCGUACACAAAAAUGCACAUGCUGUGAGCUCGAUGAGUAGGGCGGGACACGUGGUAUCCUGUCUGAAUAUGGGGGGACCAUCCUCCAAGGCUAAAUACUCCUGACUGACCGAUAGUGAACCAGUACCGUGAGGGAAAGGCGAAAAGAACCCCGGCGAGGGGAGUGAAAAAGAACCUGAAACCGUGUACGUACAAGCAGUGGGAGCACGCUUAGGCGUGUGACUGCGUACCUUUUGUAUAAUGGGUCAGCGACUUAUAUUCUGUAGCAAGGUUAACCGAAUAGGGGAGCCGAAGGGAAACCGAGUCUUAACUGGGCGUUAAGUUGCAGGGUAUAGACCCGAAACCCGGUGAUCUAGCCAUGGGCAGGUUGAAGGUUGGGUAACACUAACUGGAGGACCGAACCGACUAAUGUUGAAAAAUUAGCGGAUGACUUGUGGCUGGGGGUGAAAGGCCAAUCAAACCGGGAGAUAGCUGGUUCUCCCCGAAAGCUAUUUAGGUAGCGCCUCGUGAAUUCAUCUCCGGGGGUAGAGCACUGUUUCGGCAAGGGGGUCAUCCCGACUUACCAACCCGAUGCAAACUGCGAAUACCGGAGAAUGUUAUCACGGGAGACACACGGCGGGUGCUAACGUCCGUCGUGAAGAGGGAAACAACCCAGACCGCCAGCUAAGGUCCCAAAGUCAUGGUUAAGUGGGAAACGAUGUGGGAAGGCCCAGACAGCCAGGAUGUUGGCUUAGAAGCAGCCAUCAUUUAAAGAAAGCGUAAUAGCUCACUGGUCGAGUCGGCCUGCGCGGAAGAUGUAACGGGGCUAAACCAUGCACCGAAGCUGCGGCAGCGACGCUUAUGCGUUGUUGGGUAGGGGAGCGUUCUGUAAGCCUGUGAAGGUGUACUGUGAGGUAUGCUGGAGGUAUCAGAAGUGCGAAUGCUGACAUAAGUAACGAUAAAGCGGGUGAAAAGCCCGCUCGCCGGAAGACCAAGGGUUCCUGUCCAACGUUAAUCGGGGCAGGGUGAGUCGACCCCUAAGGCGAGGCCGAAAGGCGUAGUCGAUGGGAAACAGGUUAAUAUUCCUGUACUUGGUGUUACUGCGAAGGGGGGACGGAGAAGGCUAUGUUGGCCGGGCGACGGUUGUCCCGGUUUAAGCGUGUAGGCUGGUUUUCCAGGCAAAUCCGGAAAAUCAAGGCUGAGGCGUGAUGACGAGGCACUACGGUGCUGAAGCAACAAAUGCCCUGCUUCCAGGAAAAGCCUCUAAGCAUCAGGUAACAUCAAAUCGUACCCCAAACCGACACAGGUGGUCAGGUAGAGAAUACCAAGGCGCUUGAGAGAACUCGGGUGAAGGAACUAGGCAAAAUGGUGCCGUAACUUCGGGAGAAGGCACGCUGAUAUGUAGGUGAAGUCCCUCGCGGAUGGAGCUGAAAUCAGUCGAAGAUACCAGCUGGCUGCAACUGUUUAUUAAAAACACAGCACUGUGCAAACACGAAAGUGGACGUAUACGGUGUGACGCCUGCCCGGUGCCGGAAGGUUAAUUGAUGGGGUCAGCGCAAGCGAAGCUCUUGAUCGAAGCCCCGGUAAACGGCGGCCGUAACUAUAACGGUCCUAAGGUAGCGAAAUUCCUUGUCGGGUAAGUUCCGACCUGCACGAAUGGCGUAAUGAUGGCCAGGCUGUCUCCACCCGAGACUCAGUGAAAUUGAACUCGCUGUGAAGAUGCAGUGUACCCGCGGCAAGACGGAAAGACCCCGUGAACCUUUACUAUAGCUUGACACUGAACAUUGAGCCUUGAUGUGUAGGAUAGGUGGGAGGCUUUGAAGUGUGGACGCCAGUCUGCAUGGAGCCGACCUUGAAAUACCACCCUUUAAUGUUUGAUGUUCUAACGU